CACGUAGGCACCAAGCGUUGUCCGGAUUUAUUGGGCGUAAAGAGCUCGUAGGCGGUUGAGUAAGUCGGGUGUGAAAACUCUGGGCUUAACCCAGAGCCGCCACUCGAUACUGCUCUGACUUGAGUACGGUAGGGGAGCAGGGAACUCCUAGUGUAGCGGUGAAAUGCGCAGAUAUUAGGAGGAACACCGGUGGCGAAGGCGCUGCUCUGGGCCGAAACUGACGCUGAGGGGCGAAAGCGUGGGUAGCAAACAGG
rnacentral:rRNA from 1 species